GCUGAAAGAAGGCGAAAAAAAAGGGACAAAAAGCUGAAAAGCAAAAUCAGUGCAGCCUUUCAGAAGGGACCCCCCCUGCCCAUCGUCCUCUCCAAACGACCAAAGCCCUACGCCGAAGAACCCAUCGUUGCUGCUUCCUCUUCCCCGAUUGAAAAACCAAAAAAUCAACCCACGACCCUUCCCCGUUUUGCUGACGACAAAACAGUAGGACGCACAAACAGACGGAACCAAAUCUGACCGAAAAUGUAUGAUUCCGACGACUUGCCAUAGAAUCCGGCAAACCGGGUUCGAACCCAGUGGUAAACCUAGCUCCAAAACUCCCUGAAAUUAACCCAAAUAAGUGCGAAAGUCAGCUCGAAAUCGCUACCCAAAUCCAUGUCGAGUGAAUUUGUUCAGGUCGCUGUGUCCGGUCCGUCGUGGUGUUCGUUGAUACGCUGUCCUAGAUUCCGUCUAUUUUGAGUUUCUGUCGAGGUUGCGGUGUCGAUUUUUGUUUGUGUAAUCACUGGACACUCUGAGAUAUUGAAAAUUCACCAUUCAGGUGUGGAUCUACUUACCGGAGUUUGAGCAUGACAGAUACCCCAGGAUCACUACAUUCAGAAGCUGCUCGAGGAGUCGUUUUAUGUUUUUGAGUUAAUUAUUUUUGUUUUAUUUUCUAGUCCUGUAUAGUAGUAUUUAGUCUUUUAGGUGAUGUUAGAAUUUGUAUUGCCUAGUUAAGUUUGCAUAGUCUUUUGUCAUUGUAUUUCUUAUUUUGCAUUUGGAAAUGUGUUACAAGUCAAAAAUCGAAAAAAAAGAAAGAAAUUUUGCGUUUUUA